GACGAACGCUGGCGGCGCGCUUAACACAUGCAAGUCGAGCGAGAACCAGUCCUUGGACUGGGACAGCGGCGAACGGGUGAGUAACACGUGAGUAAUCCACCCCCGACACUGGGAUAGCCCGGGGAAACCCGGAUUAAUACCGGAUAGCCACUUCGGUUUUCGGACCGAAAUGAAAAGGUAGCUUCGGCCUCCGGUUGGGGACGAGCUCGCGGCGGAUUAGCUU
rnacentral:rRNA from 1 species